rnacentral:rRNA from 1 species
GACGAACGCUGGCGGCGUGCCUAAUACAUGCAAGUUGAGCGCUGAAGGUUGGUACUUGUACCAACUGGAUGAGCAGCGAACGGGUGAGUAACGCGUGGGGAAUCUGCCUUUGAGCGGGGGACAACAUUUGGAAACGAAUGCUAAUACCGCAUAAAAACUUUAAAAACAAGUUUUAAGUUUGAAAGAUGCAAUUGCAUCACUCAAAGAUGAUCCCGCGUUGUAUUAGCUAGUUGGUGAGGUAAAGGCUCACCAAGGCGAUGAUACAUAGCCGACCUGAGAGGGUGAUCGGCCACAUUGGGACUGAGACACGGCCCAAACUCCUACGGGAGGCAGCAGUAGGGAAUCUUCGGCAAUGGACGAAAGUCUGACCGAGCAACGCCGCGCGAGUGAAGAAGGGUUUCGGAUCGUAAAACUCUGUUGGUAGAGAAGAACGUUGGUGAGAGUGGAAAGCUCAUCAAGUGACGGUAACUACCCAGAAAGGGACGGCUAACUACGUG